UUGACCUCGAAUCAGGUAGGACUACCC
rnacentral:rRNA from 1 species